UCUACCAUGGCAGCGACCUGGCAGAGCUGGAGGGAGAGCUCACUGAUGACCUCUGCACCAUCAUCUCCACCAGGCCAGAGCCAAAGCCAAAGCCCUGCACUGUGCAGUGCCCCAAGGGCGAGAAGGGAGACCGCGGUGAGGCAG